rnacentral:rRNA from 1 species
GACGAACGCUGGCGGCGUGCUUAACACAUGCAAGUCGAACGAAGUGGCGAACGGGUGAGUAACGCGUAAUCAACCUGCCCUUCAGAGGGGGACAACAGUUGGACACGACUGCUAAUACCGCAUACUGAAGGAGGGGAUUGCGUCUGAUUAGCUAGUUGGAGGGUUACCGGCCCACAAAGGCGCUGAUCAGUAGCCGGUCCGAGAGGAUGAACGGGCACAUUGGGACUGAGACACGGCCCAGACUCCUACGGGAGGCAGCAGUGGGGAAUCUUCCGCAAUGGAGGAAAGGCUGACGGAGGAACGCCGCGUGAGUGAUGACGGUCUUCGGGUUGGAAAGCUCUGUUAAUCGGGACGCGGUACCGGAAUAGAAAGCCACGGCUAACUACGUGCCAGCAGCCGCGGUAAUUC